rnacentral:rRNA from 1 species
UACGUAGGGGGCUAGCGUUGUCCGGAAUCAUUGGGCGUAAAGCGCGUGUAGGCGGCCCGGUAAGUCCGCUGUGAAAGUCGGGGGCUCAACCCUCGGAUGCCGGUGGAUACUGUCGGGCUUGAGUACGGAAGAGGCGAGUGGAAUUCCUGGUGUAGCGGUGAAAUGCGCAGAUAUCGGGAGGAACACCUAUGGCGAAGGCAGCUCGCUGGGACGUUACUGACGCUGAGGAACGAAAGCCAGGGUAGCGAACGGG